GAUGAACGCUGGCGGCGUACCUAAUACAUGCCAGUCGAGCGAAUGGAUUAAGAGCUUGCUUUUAUGAAGUUGGCGGCGGACGGGUGAGUAACACGUGGGUAACCUGCCCAUAAGACUGGGAUAACUCCGGGAAACCGGGGCUAAUACCGGAUAACAUUUUGAACCGCAUGGUUCGAAAUUGAAAGCGGCUUCGGCUGUCACUUAUGGAUGGACCCGCGUCGCAUUAGCUAGUUGGUGAGGUAACGGCUCACCAAGGCAACGAUGCGUAGCCGGCCUGAGAGGGUGAUCGGCCACACUGGGACUGAGACACGGCCCAGACUCCUACGGGAGGCAGCAGUAGGGAAUCUUCCGCAAUGGACGAAAGUCUGACGGAGCAACGCCGCGUGAGUGAUGAAGGCUUUCGGGUCGUAAAACUCUGUUGUUAGGGAAGAACAAGUGCUAGUUGAAUAAGCUGGCACCUUGACGGUACCUAACCAGAAAGCCACGGCUAACUACGUGCCAGCCGCCGCGGUAA
rnacentral:rRNA from 1 species